rnacentral:lncRNA from 10 species
GGAGGAGGAGGAGGAGAAAAGGAUUUGAAGAAAUUGAAUCAGUUCUGGAACAGCAGACACAGGAAUUCAGGACAUGCUACCCCAAAAUGUGAAAACUUGGCAUUUGAGAAGACAGCAGAAGCAGGAAGGUCACGCUCACUACCUCCCCCACAAUGCUCUACUCCCCUGAAACAGAUCAUAAAACCUAGGAAGGAUUUCCUGACCAUCCCCUCAAGUAGGUCUUAUGACCCUCAUGUGAGAGGUGCCCUCCCUAUACCCAGAAGAUAGCAACAUCCUCAUUUCUGAAGAUACAAGGACAAAGAGAAGAGUUUGAACAAACGGCUUCCUAAGUUCUCCCCAGUUUAUUAACAUUAUGUUACAGUCUCACCAACGCACCGCAAUGUAGCAGUCUCUCGUUUGAGGUAUCACCCUGAGUUCUCGGUCUCACAACCAUGACAAUUAAGGAACAUGAUCACCA